CUACUUAUAAAUGGACAUAUCUGGUAAUUCCCCUAUAUUUUUCCUACCCAAAUUAUUUAUCAUAAACAAAUAUUUAGUUGUCACAUCAAACAUGCACGUCCUAACAACCUAUUCAAUAAUGUUUUAUAAGGACUAGGUUUUUAAUGUACUUUGUAUUCGUUGUUUAUAGCUAUAUUGUUGGUAAAGAAGUCAGUAAUUAACAGCCUCAGAUUAGUUUUAUACACAUCAUAUAUAACGUGAGAAUUAUCUUAUUAUUCAAUCAACUGUUAAAACUAAGUCACUACCUGUCAGAAUUAGACGUGGAAAAGUUGCAAAUGCCUGCUGCUGUAAAAGACAACGUAACACGAAAGCCUAUAUACCAAGUUAAUUUCACGUACACGUAGAGCUACUGAAACUUACCCACCGUAACAGUAAAUUAUUAAAAUUUUAGCACAUUAAAGUAACAUAUGUAACUGUACCCACUACAGUUACGUUUUUGUUUUCCAACAUUAAUUUUAUGUAAUUCUUUUCUUGAUGGAUUAAGGCAGUCGCAAAUAAGUUUUUCUUGAUAGAAGAAAACAAAUAAGUAGUUAUCAAACUAAUUAGAAAGCAAAAUGAAUAUUCAUAGGCUCGAUUAAAAAAACAAAAACAAAAGAGCUUUUGAUGGUUUCCCUGUUUACGAAAAUUAUAAGAAAAGAAAACGUAAUUAUGUGGUAUCACCUCUGAUCAAAGGUAUCCUACAAAAUCUUCUUAAAAUAAUAGCAGGAACAAUGCACUGAAAAACUGGUUUAAAAAGGUCAAAAUAGU
rnacentral:lncRNA from 1 species